AAUCUAAGGGGUACGACGCGUCGAGCAGUGGCCCGAGGCAGGAUAACGAGAAUUACACUUUCAAGUGCUAUGGAAUUGCCAACACCUUGGAGGCAGAAUUUACUCAUCAUUUAAAUAUAAUUCGUCCGUAUCUGGCUUCAAAUAGUGAUCGGGACAUUCGGAUAAAUAUGAAUUUGAUUCAACAAAGUAACAGUACUGGACGGGUUGAGCUCUGCAAAGGUACUCAUGGCGAGAUACUAGUAGUCGGUGAUCAGGGGACAAAAAUUUUGAAUGUCUUGAAAUAUUUUGAGCAGUGGAAAGCAGAUGUGGAAGAAUUUGGCUUCGAUCAUUCUUUCAUGCUUUGCUACCGAAGGCUUUAAAGGCGCCUACGUACGAACCAGGAAAUGGACAUCUCAAUCGUUAAUUAUGUUGGAAAGAUCCUGAUCUAGUGUAUGAUGUUUUUUUCGUUUGCAUGCAGUUGUUAUUGUAACCAUUCCGCCACUUAUGUUAGGAAGAUUGAUAUGCAAUAUGCAUCACAUCUUGACUACGUACGUUGGUAAUAAGCAGUGGUCAAUGUUAUGGAAUGGAUCCAUGUAGUUUUUUAA